GUAGUAAGUCCACAUAACUUUCUGGGAAAACAGAGGACACAGUUCUUAUGUUCAAGGGGCUUCAUCCUAGCACUCAGAUGUUAAGUGGUGUAUCUGUUUUAAUAUUGGUGUCAGAAAAAAUUAAAUACACACACUACACACAGUUACCCAGCACUCUAUACAAAAGCAAAGUGAUUAAGUUGUGAAAAUAUAAAUGAGCAGGACCCAGAGGAGAGUAUUCUGUGAUAACUGUGCUUUAGUACCCUCCUGGAGUAUUUUGGCAAUUUCUCACUCAUUUGUAGAUCUCUGUUUUGUUCAUCAGCACUGCUUCCUUGAAGGGAUGGACAAAGAAGUGUGACAUGUACAAAAGCUAGGGGGCAGGAGUCCAUAGGGCCACAUAUUCACUUUACUUUUCAAGGUCUCUGCUCUUUGAGGCUACUGCUUCAGUCAAGCAAGUGUAGAUUAUGAAUAUAAGACGCUUUCCAGUGACUGAUAUUUUAAGAAGCACACAGUAGCUGAAGCAGCUACC
rnacentral:lncRNA from 1 species